AACGAACGCUGGCGGCAUGCCUAACACAUGCAAGUCGAACGAGACCUUCGGGUCUAGUGGCGCACGGGUGCGUAACGCCUGGGAACCUGCCCUUAGGUUCGGAAUAACUCCCCUAAAGGGGUGCUAAUACCGGAUAAUGUCUUCGGACCAAAGAUUUAUCGCCUUUGGAUGGGCCCGCGUUGGAUUAGCUAGUUGGUAGGGUAAAAGCCUACCAAGGCGACGAUCCAUAGCUGGUCUGAUAGGAUGAUCAGCCACACUGGGACUGAGACACGGCCCAGACUCCUACGGGAGGCAGCAGUGGGGAAUAUUGGACAAUGGGCGAAAGCCUGAUCCAGCAAUGCCGCGUGAGUGAUGAAGGCCUUAGGGUUGUAAAGCUCUUUUACCCGGGAUGAUAAUGACAGUACCGGGAGAAUAAGCUCCGGCUAACUCCGUG
rnacentral:rRNA from 1 species